GAGUAAGUCGAGCAGUGGUUUGAGCCCUGGAUUGUGACUCUGGAGGCCAGGGUUCGAAUCCCAGCUCGGCCA